GUUUGUGCUCAGCCCUUCCUGCAGAUUGCCAGGGCAGGCUGUGCCAGCUUGGCAGAAAUCAGAGGGGCUGUGCUGGGUGAGCAGGGGCUGCAGAGCAAUCCUGGAGAAGCAAAGCAUCCAGCAGCACCCCAGCCCAUGAGCUCCCACUGCCCCAAGAGCAAAACCAGCUGGUUUUAGUGGGGGUCUGGGUUUGGAGGGGGCCAGGGAGAGGGAAGGGGCAGGGCUGGCUCAGGCUGUGGGGAGCAGGGACAGGCAGCCAGCUGAAAGCUUCUUAGGAAGAAAGAAAUGCAAGCAGAGCCUGCAAGCACCUGUUAGUCCAUGCACUGAAGACACAUUGGGAAAUGCUUCCUAACACAUCAGAUCCUUCCCAGGAUUGCUGCCUGUGUGCUCAGGGGUGGCACAGAACUGGGGGAGUGCAGCCCCAAAGGAGACCAACCACUGCACACGCUGCCCCAGGUACAUUUUCAGAGAGUGUUUCAGGUAACCACUGAAGACAGGUUCAGGGUGGUGCCAGAAGCCCCCCUGUGAACACCUGAGUGUGCAGCUGUUCAGGAGGGACCACACUGCUGGGACUUCAGUGUCCAGCCACAAACCUGCUCUUGGCACAGUCUGCAUGAGCCUAAACCUUCACAGGAGGCUGAGCUCCCCAGCACACCAGCAGAGCUGGUUCUGUGCCUCAGCUGCCACGAGCACCAAGCUGCCAUGCCCAUGGAGCCCUUCUGGAAUCCAGGUCUAACCCAGGAACCUCACGGGACACAGCACAGAGGUGCCUCACCUCUGGAUUCCUGCCCAAGAGUUUGAUGCAAGCCUGAGAAGACUUCAUUUCCAAGGUGAAAUUGGCAUCAUCUGCACUCAUUCCAGCCAGGGAUCUCCUCCCACCCAGGCACCCUCCCAAGUGGAAAACAGGAGGAGUAGAUGUGGAUGGCUGCAGCUUCAAUGGAAAACUCCUUUGGGAGCCUGUGCCUGGUCGUUGAGCUGUCCCACGAGAUGCAGUGUGCCAGACUUCAACAGAAACACAAAAUUAAAUGUGAUCCAAGAGGUGCAGUGAGAUUCCCAGGACAAGCACAGAGGAUUGUCCUGUGCUGAUGCUGCUGACACUGCCAGACAGUGAGGGGGGGAGCUCCAGCGAGAGGGUGCUUUGUUCACUCGGCUCAAAAUAUUUGAUAUCACACUGAAACAAAGAAGUGUUUGUUGGGACCAAACAGCGUUUGUGCCAGCUCUUGUCCAGCCUCAGGAAAGAAAAGAACUAAGAUGACCACUGGGCAUUAAAGCCACGGAGAGCUGGAGCAGGACCCGCCGGGACCCUCGCACAGGGGUGGCACUGUCGCAGCCUGCCGGGGCAUUGUGUCACUGCUCAGGUGUGGCUCAGCCCGGACCUCCCCUGCCCCAGCCACGAUCAGCGGCGGAGCCCUGGCAGCGGCCCCGGCUGGGAUCGGGACGGUGACAGCAGGGGCUGAGCAUCCAGUCCUGCCCUGCCCCACACGCUGGAGGUGCCACAGGGUGGUCUCCAGUGACAGCUCCUGCCUCUGGGCUGGAUACAGCCCCGUCCCAGGGAGGGUUCUCAAGGAACUUUCUCUGAAGUUUCCUCUUUGCUUUGGGUGUCAGUGGGCUCCUGCCAGAAAGACAUCAAUCUGAAAUGGGCAAUUCUAUGGAUGUUCAGCUUUAAAAUCUCCCCUACCCAGAGGAAAAUAAAAAAGGC